CCGGUCAGCUCAUUCACUGCAGGAACUGCGUGGCUAUCUCAUGGGUCGGUGUUGUCCAUGGCGACGGCGGCGGCACCGGCGACAGUGGCGGUCAACGGCGCAGUGGAGGCCGGCGCUGUGGUGGACUUCCCGGUGGAUCCGGUGGUCAGAUGUGAUACGCGCCUCGCCGCCGGAUCUCGAUGGAGGGGGCGAGGUGGGUAGCAGACGGGACGAGGUGCCACCGGAGUCUUCUGUGGCGGCGCUCGUUCAGGGCUGUCAAGAUGGUGGGGCGAUGCGGUAGACGAACAGAAUGUGCCUGCGGAAUUGGGUGAAUCGACUGUGAUGCCGGAUCCAUGAGCGCCACGGCGAAUUAAGAGGUAUUGAAUCCUGCUUGUUGUGUGCUAUUAUUUCUGUGUGGAUUACUCGUGCGUGCUGCUACUAAAAAGAAAACUGAAGAAUGGAAACAGAUGUGUAGAGCGUCGUAUCCGUUAUGAAACAGAGGGGAAAGGAAAACUAAGUUAGCUCAUAGAAUGUUUGUGCGCAGGGGUGGUGGGCUUGUCCAGUUAAAAAAAAUAGGGCAAAUGUUAGCUCCGCAUAAUCAAAGAGUACAUAAAUCUUGCCAGUGCUAAAAAUAGUUGCAUGUUGUUCUUUCACAUGCUGAACCGAAUAAGUAACUGGCAAAACUUAAGUCGCAGAUUUUCCUUUGCUUUUUAGUUUUGGUUGAGACCUUGAACCUGACUGUUUGAUCAGGCGGUGAAUGGUUUGUAUUGGUUUCGUUUUCUAUAUGAAAAUGGAGCUGGGUACUCCCUUUGAUCAGAAAAAUAAUUGCGCAAAAUGACCACAGCUUGCAGUUCCAAGUGUUGCUCUGUUAUGAUUUUUAAGCUGAAUGCUUGUGACAUUCUUUUUGACAGUCUCACAAUUGUCAUGCAUUUUAAAAUCUGGACUUGUUUGUAGUUUUUGGGAUGCACAAUGGUGUUUUUUGUGCCGAAAAAAGGCGUGUUGUGUCUCUCAGGAAAUAGAAUGUUGGCUUUGUGCACACAAGCAGGGUCAGGAUGUGUACCAAUCCUACAGAGUGUGCACCAUGCACCAAUAGGAUGGGGGCUCUUGAGAAGUCAAUUAGAGGUUUUGCGGAGACGAGCAAUAAGGAAGUUGUGAAGCCAGAGUUGGGAACAAAUUUUGACUCGUUGACGGAGGUGUAUGACUUCUACAACCUAUAUUCCUGGGAACAUGGUUUUGAAAUCCGAUACGGGGAAAGCAGGCUGAACCCAGAGAAAAAGGAAGACCAUGCAGGAAAUUGUGUGUGCAGAUGCUCGGGGAAGCUAUUAUGAGAGAAUACAAGGUCUUGCCGGUGUGAGUGUCCCACGAUGAUUAGGCUGCUCCAGACCAUAGACAACGGAUGGUACAUAACAGAGCAUCGAGGGAAGCAUAAUCGUGUAAUGGCAAGAAGUUGUGGAGAGAUGGCGCACUGGCCAUCUCACGAGCAUAUUGAUGGCACACUGGCGAGUAGAUGUCAUACUCAAUGCUUUCCUCAAAAUAAUCACUUAAGAACAGAGGAUAGCUUUCCUGUUUGAUGCUAUCCCUUCUAUAAUGACAGAUUAUAUUGAUAAUUGCAAUGGUAUGCAAUGUAACUGCAGGAAAUCUUCUCAGGCAAAUACUGUAAUAGCCACCAAUGGUUUGAUGACAUUGCUUAUUGCAAGACUUGACCGUCGAGAAGCUAUUGCUUGUUUGACUCUGCUGAAACUAAUAAAGGUUGUCUGUGAGCACCACCCUUGACCAAAGAAGCUCAUAGUGGACAACUACCUUCCCUAGAAGCUACAAAACCUCAUCGAAGAAUGCAGGGAUGGGCAACGCGGCGGUCAACUGCUGGUCAAACAAAUGGUCACCUCACUGUUGAAAGCACUGCACUUCAAUAUAGUUUUGUGAUCUCCAGGCCACCAUGUGUUUUCGUCCCAAGCUGUACAUGUUCUCCAUAGAGCUGGCGAGAGGCGUCGGCUAGGGUGUCCUCGAUGGCAGCAUUGUUGCAAGGGGAGGAGGGAACUGCAGAGCAAGGUUUUCGAGUCAAUGAGUCGUUUUGGGGCAGCGUCUCCUGAAUAGUAGACCUUACAGUUGCGACUAGUCGCGACUCAUCCGCGCGUUGUUGAGUCGAAUUUUUUUUUUUGACUCAUCGACUCAAACAGUGCUGCAGAGGAUGCAAAUAGCAUGGACAGCGGACCGGCCAAGUCAGGAGAAUCUGCUGUUAAACGUGAUCCCUGAGUGUCAAGGUGGAUUAAGAGGUUAGCGUCAGAGUUUAUUCAUCAUUUGCUAAUUCCUGGUGGACCGCCGCGACGAAAUAUUGUCGUAUAUUCACCGGAAGGGUGCAGAGUCUGAAUGUUUGAGCAAAGUAUGAAUGUAUAUAUGACAUGUUCCAAAUAAUCUUGAAAUGAAAAUGAAUCGAAUAUUUCUUCA